UAUUCAGCUCAAUAGCGUAUAUUAAAGUUGUUGCGGUUAAAAAGCUCGUAGUUCGAGUUCAGUUUCGGACUGGGGUGGGAGGUCACCGCCCGGUGCUUCCCCUUUAGGCUCCGAACAGCUUCCGUGAGUGGAAGCCAAGCCGGUUCUGCCGGGGUGCUCUUUACCGAGUGUCCCGCGCGGCCGGCCAGUUCACCUUGAAUAAAUGAGAGUGCUCAAAGCAGGCUACUCUGGAAUACAAUGCCCGAAUGUUAACUGCAUGGAAUGAUGGAAGAUGAUCUCGGUUCCAUUUUGUUGGUGGUGGGAGCCAGAGGUAAUGAUAAAGAGGGACUGUCGGGGGCAUCCGUACUACGACGCGAGAGGUGAAAUUCAGUGACCGUCGUAGGACGAACAACAGCGAAAGCAUUUGCCAAGAAUGUCUUCGUUGAUCAAGAACGAAAGUUAGAGGAUCGAAGGCGAUCAGAUACCGCCCUAGUUCUAACCCUAAACGAUGCUGACUAGCAAUUCGCCGUCGUUAUUCCCAUGACGUGGCGAGACGCCCCCGGGAAACCUCAAGUUUUUGAGUUCCGGGGGUAGUAUGGUUGCAAAAGUGAAACUUAAAGGAAUUGACGGAAGGGCACCACCAGGAGUGGAGCCUGCGGCUUAAUUUGACUCAACACGGGAAAGCUCACCAGGCCCGGACACCAGAAGGAUUGACAGAUUAAGAGCUCUUUCUCGAUUU
rnacentral:rRNA from 1 species